AAGAAGGAUUUGGUGACUGCUACUGAAGUUGAUGAAUCUGACUGAAAUUUCUGUUCUGGGUUGCGUGUUACAGGGGUUGCUAGAGGAGCUUUUGUGGUCAGUCUCAGAUGGAAUGGAAUCCUUCACUCUUUGUAACUUCUGGAUUUCAAAAUCCUAAAUUUUUUUUGUUGGAUUUUCGGAAUUUAAAGGGCACUGAACAAAUCUGGCCAACUUCAAGGGAAAGGAGUGGGACAGGGAUAUUCACAUGUUGAUUCAUUUGACUGUUUCAUUUCUGAAACACUAAUGUAGACUUGGAACUGACCUUUAAUUUGAAA
rnacentral:lncRNA from 1 species